GCCAGUGUGGCUCAGUUGGUUGAGCAUCAUCUGUCCUUGUACCUGGAGGUCACUGGUUCAAUUCCAGUUCAGGGCA
rnacentral:tRNA from 1 species